rnacentral:rRNA from 1 species
CAACGCGAAGAACCUUACCAGGCCUUGACAUGCAGAGAACUUUCCAGAGAUGGAUUGGUGCCUUCGGGAACUCUGACACAGGUGCUGCAUGGCUGUCGUCAGCUCGUGCGUGAGAUGUUGGGUUAAGUCCCGUAACGAGCGCAACCCUUGCCUUAGUUACCAGCACGUUAUGGUGGGCACUCUAAGGAGACUGCCGGUGACAACCGGAGGAAGGUGGGGAUGACGUCAAGUCAUCAUGGCCCUUACGGCCUGGGCUACACACGUGCUACAAUGGUCGGUACAAAGGGUUGCCAAGCCGCGAGGUGGAGCUAAUCCCAUAAAACCGAUCGUAGUCCGGAUCGCAGUCUGCAACUCGACUGCGUGAAGUCGGAAUCGCUAGUAAUCGUGAAUCAGAAUGUCACGGUGAAUACGUUCCCGGGCCUU